GUCCCCUUUAUUUUAUUUUCCCGCUUCCAUAAGCAUACAUGUGUUCAUUUUUUCUCUCUAAAUUGGGCCUUUGGUUCAACACUAUGAUCAUGACUUCCGUUGGUUCUGCGCGCCAAUGCCUCUGGUCAUUUUUUCCCUUAUUGUUUCAAUUUGUUGUUAGACUAGUUUAAAAAAUGAGUUUGUGCUCCUUCCUACCCUCAUUUUUCUUUGUAAAUGAAAUGAAAAUAGGGUGAAUCUUUUGCAGUGAUUUGACUUAAUUCUGUGAUGGUGAUGUUGGAGUCUUUGUUUUAGAAUUUCACAACUUUUGGGGUGGAGAAUGCCUUGGAAUAUGCUUUUGAUCAAUGACCAUUAUAAACUUAUCCUGAAGCUGUUUGCAUUUUCUGGUCACUCUCUAUGGCCAUGUUUGGAUUGACUUAUUUGAGCUUAUUAUCUACUGUCAUAAGCACUUUGAACUGAAACUCAGUUAAAUAGGCGAGUUUAGGGCUUCCUUAGGCAGGACUUGAGGUUUAGAUGAUUUCCAAGGGUAGCUGCAAGAAAGCAUCACACAGGCUUAUCAAGGACAAGGCAAAGAACCAUGUAGAUGAUCUGCAUGUGAUGUUCCUUGAUCUGCAGUUUGCUAGGAAGGAGAGCCGUAGUGUUGAUGUCGCGCUUCUUGAGGAGCAAGUUCACCAGAUGCUUCGUCAUGAGUGGAAGGCCGAGCUCAAUGAGCCUUCUCCUGCUUCUUCUUCUGCAGAUUUAAUUGUGGAUUUGUGAUGGACACAUGUAAACUUGAAUCUCAAUAUUUAUGGAAAAAGCAAUGAUUUGAGUUGCCAUGUUUAUGGGUGAUGAUAGGGUGGAAGUCUUCGAUCAUUCUCGACUGAUAUAUGUAGGCUACUGCAGCUCUGUGAGGAGGAAGAUGAUGCCACUAGUCCAUUAGAUGUGCCUAAGCAUGAACCUAAUGAUCAGAAUAUGCAGACUGAAGCUAAGAUGAAGUUUCAAGAAGUCUGUUCCUUUCUCCUCUUCGGCUAUUAUUCAUACAUCUUUGUGAUUUGAUCAUAACUGGCAUAGUUUUUAUUUUUUGUUCUGUAGUAUUGGCAGUCUAAAAUAUUGAUUUGAAGCUUCUUUUUCUUUAUUGCAAACAGAAAAAUAUUAUAGAGUGUUGUAUUGUUUUUUAUGUGGUAGCCUUUUUUCUGAAAAAUAAAAUUUAAUUUUUAUUUUCAAUUGACAGAAAUGAAGAGCAAGGAUUUGAUGGUUCA